UACGUAGGGGGCAAGCGUUUAUCCGGAAUCAUUGGGCGUAAAGCGCGUGUAGGCGGUUCAGUAAGUCCGCUCUGAAAGCCCCAGGGCUCAACCCCUGGGGAGGCGGGGUGGAUACUACUGGACUAGAGUACGGAAGAGGAGAUUGGAAUUCCUGGUGUAGCGGUGAAAUGCGCAGAUAUCAGGAGGAACACCAACAGCGAAGGCAGAUCUCUGGGACGUAACUGACGCUGGAGACGCGAAAAGCCGUGGGGGAGCAAAACAGG
rnacentral:rRNA from 1 species